UCCCUCUUAGCUCAGUUGGUAGAGCGCGUCACUAGUAGGUGCUAUGACGAGGUCAGUCGUUCAAGUCGGCUAGAGGGAA